GGUUUUGUAGUGUAGCGGUUAUCACUCCAGAUUCUGAUUAGUCAGAGCCUUCUGGUAACCCCGGUUCGAGUCCGGGCAAGACCU
rnacentral:tRNA from 1 species